GUCAGCACUGGGGAGACAAAGGCGACCAUGCGUGGUGAUGUCCUACUUCCCACGUUUGUGCGCCGUGCCAGCCUUCAUCAGUGCUCGCUCACAUCACUCGUUCUCAACAGUGUGUGGUGGCUACAGCAGGAUAUGAUCGCGCGAUCAGUUUUGAGGGCACAGCGGCGUCUCGUUCGAGAACGAGCGCUGUACUCUUCACGGGACGUCUUGCUUCAAUUGCAGUGAAUCCCGGCGCAGACAGAGAGUCUGCAACCUGCUUGCCACACUGCCUCCUGCAGGCAUCGCACCGCUGUCCUCUGGUCUCACGUGCACGAUGGGCCAGCUCUGUGCGCAAUCCACCAACCCUGCGUUGCCGGGUCGCUGCGUGGCAAAGCCGCGUGGCUCCAUACCACGCUCGGCCUGACCCUCUGUGAUCUCGCGCGAUUGUUCCUGAGCGUGUGACGAGGAGGAAUCCGUUCCAACUCGGCUCCUCGUGACUCACCAAACGCGAGUGCGCAGUUGCGAAUGCGC